rnacentral:rRNA from 1 species
GCCACCUGCCAUAUCACCCUGCAGCUCUCAACUGGCUACCCAUCGAAGUUAAGCAGGGUUGUGCCAGGUCAGUACCUGGAUGGGAGACCUGCUGGGAAGCUAUGGUUGCUGCUGGAA